GCGAUAGCUCAUCUGGUGGAGCAUCUGUCCGGUAAGCGGAAUAUCGCCGGUUCAAUUCCGGCUCAGGGCG
rnacentral:tRNA from 1 species